rnacentral:lncRNA from 10 species
GCUGUCACGGCGCUUGCUGGGCGAAGCCGAGGGCUCUGCCAUGGUCCCUGCGUCGAUUUUGCGCUUUCGGUGCUGCUCUGGGACGCCGAGGAGCUGCCCAGCAUGCGCGACCCCGGGCGGCCGGAUCCAGAGAGGCGGUGGCGGCGGCUGCUCAGCGAAGUCGCAAAGCAGGAGCCGCUUCCAAGUCAGUGACCACGGGGGCGUCUCCAUGAGAUUAAGACAAAGAUUAUAAUAGAGUUCCAGACUAUCCUGGGCAACAUAGCAAGACCUCGUCUCUACAAAAAAUCAAAAAUAGGCCAGGCUUGUUGGCCUGCCCCUGUGGUCCCAGCUACUCGGGAGGCUGAGGAGGAAGAUUCACUUGAGCCUGGGAGGUGGAGGCUGUAGUGAGCCAGAGAUCGCACCACUACACUGCAGCCUGGGCAACAGAGCGAGAUGCCGUCUCAAAAAAAAAAAAAAAAAAAAGGAAAAGGAUAAUACAAGCUUUAAAUAAAACUAGUGUUUAAGAAGCUUCACAGUAGGUUGUUAUUCAAAACAAAAGACUGAAGGGAGUCUGGGCUGAGGGAAGUAGCUAAAGCUAACAGAAAACACAAAUCGAAGUGUAUGUUUUGCAUGUUUUGCGCAGCUGCUGUGGAAGGUGAAGCAGGCCCUACAUUCCUGGAAGAUCUCUUGAUUAAAAACUUAUGGAGGAAGUUACAGACAAAAUGUGCAGCUCAUCCAAAAUAGCUGAGUAGUUGGCAAGAACCAAGCCUGAAGCGCAGCUGUCCUUUCUAACUGAAACCUAAAAUUGUUGGGCUCUUAAUUAAUGUUGGAAGGCUGAGUUCCCUGCUUACUAUGGGCGGUGGUCAGAUCAAGAUUCUAUGGCCAUUACAGCAAAAUAGUGUUGUCAGGUGAAGUGAGGUGGAGACAAUUGCAGUAUAUUUACUAUUUUAUUAUUUUUAUUUUUUAUUUUGUUUGAGACAGGGUCUCUCUCGGCCACCUAGGCGGGAGUGCAGUGGUGCCAUCACGGCUCACUGCAGCCGGGCCCCACUGAGCUCAAGCGAUCUCCUGUCUGGGCCUCCCAAAGUGCUUGGUUUAUAGGUGUGAGCCACCGCAUCUGGUCGUAUUUACUAUUUUAAUAGUUUGAUAAAGACAGUAACCAAGUAAGCAGAAAUGGAAGGAAGAAAAUAAGACUAUUACCAGUGCUUUGAAGGGAAAAACUAUCAUCCUCUGUAGAAAAAGUGUGCAAGAAAGAUAAUUCUAUUUUAGUGCUAGGUACUAUCUCAGUACUAAUUUACCCUGUACCCCUGCAUCUCAAGGUGGUUGUGAGAGGACAAGUUAAUUAUUAGUUAUUAACAAGCACAGAAAUGUACCAAGUUAGGGUAGUAAGCAAUAGCUUUUCUGUUUGGUUUUUACUUUUCUUGUUUGAAAUUGGUAACCGGCCGGGUGCGGUGGCUCACGUCUUUAAUCCCAGCACUUUUGGGAAGAUGAGGUGCACAGAUCACCUGAGCCCAGGAGUUCCAUACCAGCCUGGCCAACAUGGUGAAACCCCAUCUCUACAGAAAAUACAAAAAUUAGCCAGAGGUGGUGCCUUGCACCUGUAGUCCCAGGGAGGCUGAGGUGGGAGGAUCGCUUGAACCCUGGAGGCAGAGGCCAAGAUUGCACCACUGUACUUCCAGCCUGGGUGACAGUGUGAGACCCUGUCUCCAAAAAAAAAAAAAUAAAUUGAAAACCCGUCUGUCUCAAACAGAGGAAGAGUUUUGCCAUUUUUAAAUCAGCAGGAAAGAUCUUAAUCGUAGUCAUCAAGUGCUGUUUGAAAGGUUUUGAGUACCCCCAAAAUAAUAAGUUUAGCUAAUGGUUGGUUCUUUUGUGUUCCUCUUUACAAACGCUCAUUUUUUCAAAAUUGUGAAACUUAUCAUAUAUGCAAAAGGUUGUAUAAAAUACACAUGUAGUUAAAAGAAUGAUAGUAAGACAUACAGCAUUCUGUUUCAGAAAUAGAAUACUACCUAUACUAGAACAUGACAAGCUCCCUAUGCGUCCCUUCCCCACUGGCACAUACCCUUCCCUUUCCCUCACUCCCGGUAAUUACCGUUUUACAUGUUGAGUUAAUCAUUCCUUUGCUUUUUAACUCUUCCAUUUGUAUGUCUGUAUGUAUAUUGCUAAAUAACUUUUUUUUUUUUUUUUUUGAAACGGGGCUUGCUCUGUUGCCCUGGCUGGAGAGCAGUGAUAUGAUUACAGCUCACUGCAGCCCUGACCUCUCAGGGGCAAGCAGUCCUCCCACCUCAGCCUCCUGAGUAGCUGAGACUACAGGUGUACAUCACCACACCCAGCUAAUUUUUAAAAUUUUUUUGUAGAGCCAGGGUUUUGCCACGUUGCCCAGACUUGUCUCAAAGUCCUGAACUCAAACAAUCUGCCUGCCCUGGCCUCCCAAAGUGUUGGGAUUACAGGCAUGAGCCACCACACCCAGCUUAAUAUAUUUUCUGAGACCAGGUCUUGCUCUGUUGCCCAGGCUGGAAUGUAGUGGCGUGAUCACUGCUCACUGCAGCUUCAACUUCCUGGCCUCAAGCAAUCCUCCUGCCUCAGCCUCCCAAGUAGCUGGGCCCAUGGCUUGUGCCACCACACCCAGCUAAUUUUUUAUUUUUAGUAGCAACAAGGUCUCACUAUGUUGCCCAGGCUUGUUUUGCCGGGCUUUUUUUUGUUUUUGUUUUUAAAACAGCUUUACCUAGGUCUAAAUGACACACAAUAAUGUGCAUAUAAAGUGUACAAUUUGACAUUCAUACACCUGUGAAACCAUAACCACCAUCAAGAUGAUCAAAGUUUUGAGAGCAGUCUUUGACAUCUUGUUCUUUAGGAGUGUGUCAACUAUACUUGGCCCUUUGUUCUUCCAUAAUAGCAUCCUCUGUAACAUUUAGUUACCCUUUUGGAAUUUUGGUUAUAAUUGCAUUGAGAUUAUAGAUCAAUUUGGGAAGAAUUAUUAUCUUUACAAUACCAAGCUCAUUUCCUGUUCAAGAAUAUAACUAUUUAAGUUUUUAAAAAUCUUUCAAUAAAGUUUUAUAUUUCUCAACAUAAAGAGCUUAUAUCUUUGUUAAGUUUAUCCCUAGGCACUUUAUAAUUUUUGUAGACAAUAUUCUUUUUCUUUUUAAAUAACAUUUUCUGAGUUUUUGUUGCUGCUCUGGGUUCUUUUUUUUUUAAGGCCCCAGAAGUAGAAUUUGAAAUUAGUUUACCCUAAGUUGUAAGUAGUACCAGAUCCACUUGUUCAAGGAAUUUGUCCAUUUCAUUCAUCACAUUUGUUGGAAUAUUUUCUUAGUUUCUCUUUUUCCCAUUUCAUUGGCUUCUACUAAAUUUGGAUUUACUUUGCUCUUCUUUCUCUAGCUUCUUCUAAUAGAACCUAGGUCACUGAUUGUAGUCUUUGUUAGUUUCUUUUUGGAGACAGAGUCACUCUGGCUGGAGUGAAGUGGCACGAUCUUGGCUCACUGCAGCCUCUGCCUCCCAGGUUCAAGCGAUUCUCCUGCCUCAGCCUCCCGAGUAGCUGGGACUACAGGUGCAUGCCACCGCACCUGGCUAAUUUUUGCAUUUUUAGUAGAGGUGGGGUUUCACCAUGCUAGCCAGCUUGGUCUCAAACUCCUGACUUCAGGUGAUCCACCCACCUCGGCCUCCCAAAGUGCUGGGAUUACAGGCGUGAGCCACCGUGCCCAGCCGUCUUUGUUAGUUUCUAAAAUAAACACUUAAAGCUGUAACUUUCCCUGUAGCACUGCUUGGGCUACAUCCUACAAAUUUUGGUAUGUUGUAUUUUUAUUAUCUUUCAGUUUGAAAUACUUUCAAAAUUUCCUUUCUUGUUACUCUACCUCCUUCCUAUCGUUAUGAAUUUCAUUUUAAGUUAACCUAUUGGUAUUUACUUAGCUAUACCUCUUUGAAUUAAUAAUGUGGUUGCCAUAAGGACUGUUCAUAUACAUCUUUAUUUUUUCACAGUCUAGUUCGAGCUAACAUUGUACCACUUUAUGUAAAACAUAAAUACCUUGCACCCCUCCCCCUGCCCUAUCUAAAUGCAUUUUUUAUUGAUGUAAUAGGAUCUUCUACCUAUUCUACAUAUCCCAUAAUUUUGUGGAUAAUAACUCAGAAGUCAUUAGUUACAACAAAACAACAAAGAAGGGAAACUUUUUUUCUUCUUACUGAAAAAGGAAUACACACAAACUUAUUCUGCUUAUCUUUAAACUUGUGUGUUUCAGACUAACUGAAGCCUCACAGCAGUGUAGGGUGGGGAAGUAGUUUAAAAUUUUUUAAUUGCCAGAACUUUUACAUAUCUCAUUUGAUCCCAAAAACUUUGGGGCAGAUUAUUGCCAGUUUAACAGAUAAACCUCUCCUCUGAGCAUCAGAUCCAUGUGACUUCUCAUGAGUCUACCUUAACCACCUUAUUUAAAAUUGCAACUCACUCUACAUUUCUCCUGACUCUUGAUUCCCCUCUUUUCCCAUAGCAUGAUUACUUUCUAAUCUAUUAUAUAUUUCACUUACUUAUUACUCUUAUUGUCUCCCUUUCUAGAAAGUAAGCUUGUUGAAGGUAGGGUUCCAGUUUGUUUUUUGGGUUUUGUCCCCAGUCAUAUACUCAAAGUGACUAGCAUGGUAGGUGCUCAGUAAAUAUUCGUUGCCUGAAUGAGUGUCCAUUAUUUCCAUCUGGGUGUUCUGUAGGCAUCUCAUAUUCCAUCCUCCAGUGUCAUCAGUCAUCUAUACAGGUACCCAUACCAGAAAUAUAACUGUAUUCUUUCAUAAUCACAUUCACUCAAUUUAUUCUUUGAAUACAUAUUUUAAGCAUCUGCUACAGACCAGGCACUGGGUUACAACAGUAAAACAAAAAUCCCUACCCCAUGACUGUCCAAGGAAUCUUGGGGGAGACAGACAAUAAAUAAGCACAUCUAUCAGGUGGUGCUGAGGAAAAAUAAAAAUAAGGCAGGAUAAAAGGUCAAGAUGGGCAUCUCUGACAAGACUUUUGGGCCAAGACCUGAGGAAAGUGAGGGGGGGCAAAUCAUGUGAUCCUAGUCAGAUGUAAUAGCAAGUAUGAAUGUCCAAAAGUGUAAAAUAGCAAAAGCAUGAGCAAAGGAUGGCAAAAAAACAAAAACAAAACAAAACAAAACAAAAACCCAGUGCUGCCUUUUCCUCAAUGUUUUGUUUUGGGUAGUGUCUGUUUCUUCAAGUUCACUAGUUCGUUCUCUUGUACCUUAUCUGCUGUUAACCCCACACACUAUUUUUUCAUCCUACACAAUGUACUUUUCAUCUCUAGUUCCAUUUGGGUCUUUUUUUCUAUCUUCCAAAUCUAGGUAACUUUUUGAACAUAUGGAAUACAGUUAUUCUGUUUUAAUGCUCUCUGCUAAUUCUGACAUCUGUGUCAGGUCUGGUUUGGGUUCACCUGAUCUUUCUCCUCUCUAUGGGUCGUGUUAUCCAGCAUACCUGGUAUUGUGUUUGUCAGCAUACCUGGUAGUUUCUGAUCAGACACCAGAUAUUUUUUUACUUUGUUGGGUGCUAUUUUUGUAUUUCAAUAAGUAUUCUUGAGAUUUAUUCUAGGAUGCUGUUAAGUACAUAGACAUAGUUUGACCCAUUUGGAUCUUGCUUACAAGAUUUGUCAAGUGGGACCUGAGCUUUUUUAAUCUAGGGCUAAUGACUCCACAUUACCAAGGCAAGACUUCUCUGUACCACACCUAGUGCCCUACACAUUUUGAGGUUUUAUAGUCUGGGUGUGAGAACAAACACUCUGGCCCUGUGUGGGCCCUGGCUACUGUUCUGAUACUUCAGGUGCUUUUUUUCUCUGGCCAUGGUUUGUUUUCUCACACAUGCACUGAUCAGUAGUACUCUGAAGAUUACUCAAGGGGCACUGUCCUCAUAUCUCCAGUGUUCUAUGUGCAGCUACCAAUGUUUGUAUCAUAUUGGUUAUUAAAAUUUUAAUAAGUGAUUUUGUGUGGAUAAGGAUAUGCAGAAACAGAUGCUCUCUUUGUUUUAAAGUGUAAGUUAGUAUAACCUUUUAAGAGAGCAAUCUGGGCAGGGUGUGGUGGCUCAUGCCUGUAAUCCCAGCACUUUGGGAGGCCAAGCCGGGUGGAUCACUUGAGGUCAGGAGUUUGAGACCAGUCUGACCAAUGUGGUGAAACCCCAUCUCUACUAAAAAAUACAA